AUUGAACGCUGGCGGCAGGCCUAACACAUGCAAGUCGAACGAGUGGCGGACGGGUGAGUAAUGUCUGGGAAACUGCCCGAUGGAGGGGGAUAACUACUGGUAACGGUAGCUAAUACCGCAUACCCUCGGAUGUGCCCAGAUGGGAUUAGCUUGUAGGUGGGGUAACGGCUCACCUAGGCGACGAUCCCUAGCUGGUCUGAGAGGAUGACAAGCCACACUGGAACUGAGACAGGGUCCAGACUGCGACGGGAGGCAGCAGUGGGGAAUAUUGGACAAUGGGCGCAAGCCUGAUGCAGCCAUGCCGCGUGUAUGAAGAAGGCCGUCGGGUUGUAAAGUACUUUCGGUGGGGAGGCGUUACCCACAGAAGAAGCACCGGCUAACUCCGUGCCAGCAGCCGCGGUAAUAC
rnacentral:rRNA from 1 species